GUUAUAUGGUCAAGUGAAGAAGCGCAUACGGUGGAUGCCUUGGCAGUCAGAGGCGAUGAAAGACGUGGUAGCCUGCGAAAAGCUUCGGGGAGUCGGCAAACAGACUUUGAUCCGGAGAUCUCUGAAUGGGGGAACCCACCUAGGAUAACCUAGGUAUCUUGUACUGAAUCCAUAGGUGCAAGAGGCGAACCAGGGGAACUGAAACAUCUAAGUACCCUGAGGAAAAGAAAUCAACCGAGAUUCCCUUAGUAGUGGCGAGCGAACGGGGAUUAGCCCUUAAGCUUCAUUGAUUUUAGCGGAACGCUCUGGAAAGUGCGGCCAUAGUGGGUGAUAGCCCCGUACGCGAAAGGAUCUUUGAAGUGAAAUCGAGUAGGACGGAGCACGAGAAACUUUGUCUGAACAUGGGGGGACCAUCCUCCAAGGCUAAAUACUACUGACUGACCGAUAGUGAACCAGUACCGUGAGGGAAAGGCGAAAAGAACCCCGGAGAGGGGAGUGAAAUAGAACCUGAAACCGUAUGCGUACAAGCAGUGGGAGCCUACUUGUUAGGUGACUGCGUACCUUUUGUAUAAUGGGUCAGCGACUUAUAUUCAGUGGCAAGCUUAACCGUAUAGGGUAGGCGUAGCGAAAGCGAGUCUUAAUAGGGCGUUUAGUCGCUGGGUAUAGACCCGAAACCGGGCGAUCUAUCCAUGAGCAGGUUGAAGGUUAGGUAACACUGACUGGAGGACCGAACCCACUCCCGUUGAAAAGGUAGGGGAUGACUUGUGGAUCGGAGUGAAAGGCUAAUCAAGCUCGGAGAUAGCUGGUUCUCCUCGAAAGCUAUUUAGGUAGCGCCUCAUGUAUCACUCUGGGGGGUAGAGCACUGUUUCGGCUAGGGGGUCAUCCCGACUUACCAAACCGAUGCAAACUCCGAAUACCCAGAAGUGCCGAGCAUGGGAGACACACGGCGGGUGCUAACGUCCGUCGUGAAAAGGGAAACAACCCAGACCGCCAGCUAAGGUCCCAAAGUUGUGGUUAAGUGGUAAACGAUGUGGGAAGGCUUAGACAGCUAGGAGGUUGGCUUAGAAGCAGCCAUCCUUUAAAGAAAGCGUAAUAGCUCACUAGUCGAGUCGGCCUGCGCGGAAGAUGUAACGGGGCUCAAACCACACACCGAAGCUGCGGGUGUCACGUAAGUGACGCGGUAGAGGAGCGUUCUGUAAGCCUGUGAAGGUGAGUUGAGAAGCUUGCUGGAGGUAUCAGAAGUGCGAAUGCUGACAUGAGUAACGACAAUGGGUGUGAAAAACACCCACGCCGAAAGACCAAGGGUUCCUGCGCAACGUUAAUCGACGCAGGGUUAGUCGGUUCCUAAGGCGAGGCUGAAAAGCGUAGUCGAUGGGAAACAGGUUAAUAUUCCUGUACUUCUGGUUACUGCGAUGGAGGGACGGAGAAGGCUAGGCCAGCUUGGCGUUGGUUGUCCAAGUUUAAGGUGGUAGGCUGAAAUCUUAGGUAAAUCCGGGGUUUCAAGGCCGAGAGCUGAUGACGAGUCGUCUUUUAGAUGACGAAGUGGUUGAUGCCAUGCUUCCAAGAAAAGCUUCUAAGCUUCAGGUAACCAGGAACCGUACCCCAAACCGACACAGGUGGUCGGGUAGAGAAUACCAAGGCGCUUGAGAGAACUCGGGUGAAGGAACUAGGCAAAAUGGCACCGUAACUUCGGGAGAAGGUGCGCCGGCUAGGGUGAAGGAUUUACUCCGUAAGCUCUGGCUGGUCGAAGAUACCAGGCCGCUGCGACUGUUUAUUAAAAACACAGCACUCUGCAAACACGAAAGUGGACGUAUAGGGUGUGACGCCUGCCCGGUGCCGGAAGGUUAAUUGAUGGGGUUAGCGCAAGCGAAGCUC
rnacentral:rRNA from 1 species